rnacentral:ncRNA from 1 species
GCUCUUUCUUGAUUCGGUGGAUGUUGGUACAUGUCCGUUCUUAGUUGGUGGAGCGAUUUAUCUGGUUAAUUCCGAUAACGAACGAGACAUUAGCCUAUUAGAGAGGUGCGUGGUUCUCUGCACCUUACACCCUUCUUAGAGGGACAAGCGGCUCCUAGCCGCACGAAAAAGAGCAAUACGUAACAGGUACGUGAGGCCCUUAGAUGUCCGGGGCCGCGAGCGCACUACACUGAAGGAAGCAGCGUGUUUUAAUCCCUGUCUGUUAAGACAGUAAGCUUAGAAAAAAGUGGCUUGAGCAAAUACUGUCACGAUCUUUCUCGAACGUGGA